UACGUAGGGGGCAAGCGUUGUCCGGAAUCAUUGGGCGUAAAGCGCGUGUAGGCGGCUUCGUAAGUCCGUUGUGAAAGUCCAGGGCUCAACCCUGGAAUGCCGAUGGAUACUGCGGAGCUAGAGUCCGGAAGAGGCGAGUGGAAUUCCUGGUGUAGCGGUGAAAUGCGCAGAUAUCGAGGAGGAACACCGGUGGCGAAGGCGGGUCUCUGGGCCGAUACUGACGCUGAGGAGCGAAAGCGUGGGGAGCGAACAGGG
rnacentral:rRNA from 1 species